rnacentral:rRNA from 1 species
GACGAACCGUGCGAACGUUGUUCGGAAUCAUUGGGCGUAAAGAGCUCGUAGGCGGUUUGUCGCGUCUGCCGUGAAAGUCCGGGGCUCAACUCCGGAUCUGCGGUGGGUACGGGCAGACUAGAGUGAUGUAGGGGAGACUGGAAUUCCUGGUGUAGCGGUGAAAUGCGCAGAUAUCAGGAGGAACACCGAUGGCGAAGGCAGGUCUCUGGGCAUUAACUGACGCUGAGGAGCGAAAGCAUGGGGAGCGAACAGG